GAUCUGCCAAAAUGAUCCAGUCAAGACUAGAACUCAAUAAGCAGUUUGUGCCAAAACGCCCAGCCAACUGCAGGCUGUUCAAACCAAAGGGUUAUUACUUUCGGCUACGGGACUCUCCUUUUAAGCUCAUGGAGUCCUGUCACUUACAUAGUUCUCUACUCAAAAAAAAAAAAAAGAAAGAAAAAAAGAAAGAAAUGUUUACUUGCAGUGUAUUAACCUGGCUAUUACUUAUCCACUAAAUACUCCAUCUCGUUUGUUUCUCACAUUAAUGUCCUGCUACAACCCACAGGCAGAGCAAAAAUGUCAAGAAGGUUUACUCAUGCCGCCGGCCCCAAAUCACCACGUUGCCAGGCUUACGCUAGAGACCGCCGCUCCCAGGUCUCCCUGGCCGGUGGGCUGGAGUAAAUGAUUCUUUCUCAGCAGCCCUGGCGAGGGUAACUCCCCGAGAUGCCCGACACGUGGCCAAGGCACAGAAGGUCCCCUUCCGCCAAGGUUCGUCAAGUGCUUACUUGGGUCUAGUACUGACUCAGAAGCCAGCAAUAGAGUAAACAAAGCAAGACCAAAGCAGCAGAUAGUCUAACAAAGAAACUCCCUCCCCGGAAUCGGAACACUACGAACGGCUAGCCUUCCUCCCGCUGCUGAGGCGGACCCCAGGUUAGAUGCCCGAGAAUAACAGGGACGCGGGGCCAGGCUGCACGCGCCGCCGGCAGGGACGUGAAAUGCAGCGGCUUCCUUGAGAAACCGCGUGGCAGCUUCUCGGAAGGUUAAGCAUCGCGUUACCACGUGACCCCGAGGAAUACAGCCGGGAGAAAUGAACACACGUCCGUGUCAGACCUGAUCUUUUGUUUGUCGGAAGCGGAAUUUUGAGAUGCUCCUGGAUAUUCUACGUUACAGGAGUCCCUUAACAUCCGGUGUCUCAGAUGCUCGCUAGAAGUUGGUGAGAUAAACAGGACUAGCCAGAUCUCCGUUCCAGAAACAAUUCAGCCUGUCCAACGAUGUCCUCUCCACCCUUUCCCUACUUCCUGCCUCUGAAAAACCACAUUUUCCAAACGGGAAGCCAGGAGCUGGAGAAGCACAGACAGCUAAGUUGCCUGGAUUCGUAAAGAAUGGGUCCUCUGAGUUUGCCCGCUCUCCAUGCAAAUUUCUUUCGCGGCCUCUCUCCAACGACACGACUCGAUCAGCACGAUCUGCUCUCCUUAUCCUACAGGUUCUUCUGUCAAGUUGUCCAGGAAGGAGCACCACCUGGGAGCAGGGCCCAAAACCUACCGGUGUUGAUUAAAAGAUCUUUCCCAGCACGAAGCCUCACCCGCCGAGGUCAAGGCUUAUCCCAAAUGAAACAAUGCUACGCAGCGGGAAGGCUAUGCUAUUGAAAGGGUCCGCUGAACGACAGGCUUUCAGAAGAACGACCCUGGGCUGACACAAUGGAACUUCCCGUGACUACUUCCCUGUGUAUUUUGAUAGCUAGCAACUCAACAGGAGAAAAACAGAAAUCAUAAUGGAAAUGAUGAAACCUAGCUUAAACUUUCUGGAGAAGGGAAGGUGGAAGAGACUCGUAACAAGGAACAACGGCGCCUAAUACCAUCUGCACUCAACAAAAUAGUAAAUGUUAGAUACGGCCACACUGGCAUAGUGUCAUCGUGCUCGAUUAGAAAGGGUGAUCCCCCCAAGCCCCAAAGGCUAUGGCGCUCAUCAACAUGAAAAAUAAUGUUUAAUGGGCAUAAAAGGAGUCCUAUCAACAAGUUUCAUAUUGGCAUAAUCUAUGCAAUUAAAAAAAAAAAAAAAGGUUUUGAUGCUCUGAGUGGUUUGACUCUAACCCUAAAAGAUAAAACCUUCAAGAAAUGCAAGGCAUUAAAAACAAUUCAAUGCAGGACACUUUUUAAAGAAACUGCUAUGAUUUUCAACAAUUUUAGGACAGUAGCUCGAAGUCAACAAAUGUCGAUGAUAAACGCUACUACAUAGAAAGCACUGUGCUAAAACCGAAGAGUUUAUCGAAUCUGGCUGGAGCAGAAAAUCUAGCGGAACACACACACACAACAUUCAGUCGUGUAAAGCAACAGACUGAGAUCGCACGGAGUCCGCGGGGAAGACAGGUGGGGGCUGCAAUAAACGGCAGGCUGGGACCCCGAAAAGCACGUACAGAGGGACUUCAGGUGGGAGCGAACUCCUGAGUAAGCUGGGAAAAUCGUGAGCCCCUUCAAGAGAGAGCUUGGGCACUUACGCUCCAGGGUAUGUGCGUCCCAUCAUUCAUAAAGCAAACGCAUAAAGCGAAAGCUCUGCCAUCUGCUGGAGUAGAACCUAAGACGGGAAACUUCUCUCUUCUUUUAGACAGAAAGAAUGCAC